AGAGUUUGAUCCUGGCUCAGAUUGCACUCUGGCGGCAUGCUUUACACAUGCAAGUCGAACGGUAACAGGCCGCAAGGUGCUGACGAGUGGCGAACGGGUGAGUAAUGCAUCGGAACGUGCCCAGUCGUGGGGGAUAACGCAGCGAAAGCUGCGCUAAUACCGCAUACGAUCUAUGGAUGAAAGCGGGGGACCGUAAGGCCUCGCGCGAUUGGAGCGGCCGAUGUCAGAUUAGGUAGUUGGUGGGGUAAAGGCUCACCAAGCCAACGAUCUGUAGCUGGUCUGAGAGGACGACCAGCCACACUGGGACUGAGACACGGCCCAGACUCCUACGGGAGGCAGCAGUGGGGAAUUUUGGACAAUGGGCGCAAGCCUGAUCCAGCAAUGCCGCGUGCAGGAAGAAGGCCUUCGGGUUGUAAACUGCUUUUGUACGGAACGAAACGGCUCUGGUUAAUACCUGGGGCUAAUGACGGUACCGUAAGAAUAAGCACCGGCUAACUACGUGCCAGCAGCCGCGGUAAUACGUAGGGUGCAAGCGUUAAUCGGAAUUACUGGGCGUAAAGCGUGCGCAGGCGGUUUUGUAAGACAGGCGUGAAAUCCCCGGGCUCAACCUGGGAAUGGCGCUUGUGACUGCAAAGCUGGAGUGCGGCAGAGGGGGAUGGAAUUCCGCGUGUAGCAGUGAAAUGCGUAGAUAUGCGGAGGAACACCGAUGGCGAAGGCAAUCCCCUG
rnacentral:rRNA from 1 species